UUUAUUUCAUCUCCUGAAAGCUUCGGACGUCGUCGUUUAAUACCAAAUCCCCAGUGUAAUUCGUUUGAUUUUAAAAUUACACCUCCAUCCCCACGCCCUCUUCUAAUUUAACAACCCUAAAUUGAUUUUGAUGGUCAAGUUUAUAAAAUUGACUAUAAAGUUAUUGUAAAUGUUUUAAUGUUUGCAGAUCAAAAUUUUAAUUAUUUUUACUUUUAUUCUAAUUAAAAAACAUGCAUAAUUGUUUUUUUGACUUUGAUAAAUAUAAAAGAAGUGAUUCAGGAGUUAAAGGGACAAUGUGUCACCAAAAAGUUUGUCAAAUUAAUAAAUAAAAUCAGCUCAAAAAUGGAAUGGAGGAAGUAUAGGGAUGAAUAAUGAUGAUUUUAGUUUAGAUACUGUAUAACUAACAAAUAUCAAACGUUGAAAAACAUCUUUAUUUACUGAUAUCUAUUUUACAAAUAGCAAAUCACGAACUUGGAUGGAGAUGUUAAAUCUGAUAAUAAGCGUUGAUUUUAUCGGUUUGGAUUUCAUAUUAGUUUAGUUUGUUUUUUAAAUUUUCUUAGGGAUAUUGUGUGUGUUGCGUUAGUUUUUUGAAAAACUUAUUUCAGAAAAAGGAAAAUCCUUUUUGCCCAUCCCAUGAUUAAUUCUUCCUCUUGUUCUUCGGUUUAACUAGUGUCACACCUCAUUUCUCCGGGAGGAGUAGAAUUUUUUUUGAAUUUAAGUGACAUUAAUUAAAAUGAGAUUAUUUAUUGAUUCAGAGUCGUCACUUAGGAUAAUUUAUGGUAUCUCAAGUCACCAGUUUAUUUUAAAUCCCAAAUCGAGGAUAUUUGACUCUGUUUUUUAAAGUCUGCGAACAUAGAAGACCGGGUAAGGAAUUAUGUUAACCCGAGAGAAGGUGUUAGGCACUCCCGAGUUCCGUGGUUUUAGGACGGUCUCUCAACUAUUAAUAAUUGACCUAAUUAUCUGAUUUAUUACAUGUUUAGAGCCUAUGGUGCAUUUUAACUUUCUAACCGCUUUUAAUAUAAUUUUACUUGCUUUUUUAAGGAUUUAUGGAGUUUAUUUGAACAAAUCGCGAUGUUGCGCAUUCGUUUGUUUUUUUACAUAUUGUGAAUCGCGUCACAUGAAAUGCACCUGCGAUUUAUAGCAUGUUUAUUUUAUUAUUUUUUGAGGUGUGGUCGAAUCGCGUGAAACGCACACUCCAAUUAGGAUUUAUGUAUCGUGAUGUAAUGACCCGGCCGGUCGUUUUAAGAUUUAACGCUCUGAUCCCCUAUUAACUGCAUUCCCCGCAUUUGUUUCUGCUAUUGUAAGUUGCCGGGAGGAUUUAUUUGGAGUUUCAGAGAGUUUUGAGACACUUAGUCCCUAAAUGAGAGUUUAAGUUUUAGAAUUUGGACCGUAGUCGGAAUAGUGUGAAGACGGCCUCGAAAUGGAAUUCCAUUGGUUCCGUUAGCUCCGUUGGGCGAUUUCGGGCUUAGGGGCGUGUUCGGAUUGUGUUUUGGAGGUCCGUAGCUUAAUUAGACUUGAAAUGCCGAAAGUUGAAUUUUGUGAAGUUUCUGGCUCGAUAGUGAGAUUUUGAUCUAGGGGUCGGAAUGGAAUUCUGAGAGUUGGAGUAUCUUCGUAGUGUUGAGUGUGACGUGUGUGCAAAAUUUCAGGUCAUUCGGACGAGGUUUGAUAGACUUUUUGAUCAAAAGAGGAAUUCAGAAGAUUCUCGGAACCUUAGGCUUGAAUCCGAUGUUAAUUGGUUGAUUCGAUGUUGUUUGAUGUGUUUUGAAGAUUUGUAUAAGUUUGGAUAGUGGUAUAUGACUUGUUCGUGCUUUUGGUUGAGAUCUCGGGGGCCUCGGGAUGAUUUCAGAUGGUUAACGGGAAGUUUGGAGUUGGGACUUUGUAGCUGAAGCUGCUGAGUUUUUCUGUUAUAACCGCACCUGCAGUUAGGGGGCCGCAGGUGUAACGACCGCAGAUGCGAGAUUCAAGCCGCAGAUGCGGCCACAGGUGAAGGCAGCAGAAGACGCAGAAGCGGAAGGUGUGUCGCACCUGCGGGACCGUAGAUGCAGAGCCUGGGUCGCAGGUGCGGAGAAGGGGACUUAAGUGAAAAUUGCAGAAGCGGAAAUUGACCGCAGGUGCGAAAAACCUGGGUCAGAAAGUAUUAAAAGACUUCGUUCACGAAUUUGGGUUAUUUUUCCUAAUAUUUCAACGAGAAGAAGCUUUGGAGAGCGAAUUUCAAGGGAGAUUUUCUGAGGGAUCAUUGAGGUAAGGUCCUUGGUUCCUAAGCUCGUUAUUAUGGUGAAUUUUAUUGUUGUUAGCAUGAAAUUUAAGGGAGAAAUACGUGGUAAAUUGGGGGUUAGGGCUUGGUUAAUUGGAGAGCUUUAAGCGGUGAUUUGAGGGACCAUUUGGGGUCCGAUUUUGGUACUUUUGGUAUGACUGAACUCGUGAGAGUGUAAGGAUUCGGAAUUUGUAAAUUUUUUUCGAUUCCGAGACGUGGUCCCGGAGGCGUUUUGGUCAUUUUUCCUAAUUUCGCUUAUUAGCUUAGAAUUAAUUAGUGGAAUCAGUUACUUGAAGUUAUAUUUACAUUAUGCAAUUGAUUUGAAUAGAUUUGGACCAUUUGGAGUCAAGUACUCGUGGAAAGAGUGUGGUUUCGGGUUGAUUUUUGAGCCAGUUCGAGGUAAGUGACUUACCUAACCUUGUGUGGGGGAACUCCCCUUAGGAUUUGGUAUUGUUGAUAUAUGAAAUGCCUUGUACGCGAGUGACGAGUGCGUACAUGUGCUAAUUGUUGAAAAUCCUGCUUUCGUUAACUAAUUAUAACUGAGCUUUCUUUCUUGUUUAUGCUAUCUACAAUUUAAUCCUAUUGUUUGCUUAGGGAAGCAUGUUUAAUUGACUUAAUUGCCUUACUUGCUCAAACUGCUUUAUUUGAAUUUCGUGCAGCAUGCUAGGUUAGAAUUAUCUGUUUACCUUGGUAUGGAAAUUUGGAUUGGAUUGAAUAUUCUUCGUGUUGCUGUUGUGUGUCUACUUUGGGACUACGGGACAGUAUCCCGGGAGAUCCCCCUGCAUGUUUACUUUGGGACUACAGAUUUGUAUUCCGGGAGAUCCCCCUGCACUUUUAUAUUGGAACUACGGGACUGCACCCGGUAGAUUUACCCAGUACUAGGUAUUUAUAUUUGGGACUACGGAUCGGUAUUCCGGGAAAUCCUCGCGCACUAUGAGUUGGAGUACGAGACGGCACCCGGGAGGUCCACUGGAUAUUAAUAUUUGGGACUACAAGACAGUAUCCUGGGAGAUCCCCGAUUGUUAUCUCUGUGUUGAGCUGUAUUCCUUCUGUGAUUAUUUUAUCUCUGUUAUAGUUGUUAUUAUUCUUAUUAUCCUAUGUUACUUUAUACCGUUAACAUUUAUUUAUAUUGUCAUAUUCUAUACUGUUUUACCUCAUUUUUUUAGCUAUAAUCAGUAGGGCCCUGACCUUCCUCGUCACUACUUGACCAAGGUUAGGCUUGGCACUUACUGAGUACCGCUGUGGUGUACUCAUGCCCUUUCUGCGCAUGUUUUUCAUGUGCAGAUCCAGGUACUUCGACUUAGCCCUACUACCCUUGAGGCGAGGCGAUUCUCCAAAGAAUUCGAGGUAUAUCUGCUGCGUCCGCAGACCGAUGAGUCCCUUUCCAUUCUCACUUAUAUUAUUAGCCCUUCUGUAUUUACUUUUGUUUAGACAUUCUGGAGUUAGACACUUGUAGUUAUUCAACUGCUUGUGAUUUCAUGAGAUUCCGAGUUUUGGGAAGUUGUUCAAUUUGAGAGUUAUAUUGUAUAUGCCGAGCGGCAUCUUUAAACCUUCAUUAUGUUUAUUCCGCAGUUUUAUUUGUUUUAUCUGUUGUUUUCCCUUUUUUCUAAAAUUGUUAGGCUUACCUAGUCGUAGAGACUAGGUGCCGUCACGAUAGUUCACGGAGGGCGAACUGGGGAUGUGACAAGUUUGUAUCAGAGCUCUAGGUUCAUAGGAGUCAUGAAUCACAAGCCGGUUUAUUAGAGUCCACGGAUCGGUACAGAGACGUCUGUACUUAUCUACGAGAGGCUAUGUAACUGUUAGGAAAAUUCUACUUCAUUUGAUUUCCUUGUCGUGUGAGAUUUUUGAUAUCACAAUUCUAAACUUCUAUCUUCUAUUCUCUCACAGAUGGUAAGGACCCGUGCUACCAGAGAUGAUCAGGCACUCACGCCCCCUACUGGAGCCAUCAGAGGUUGGGGUCGGGGUAGAGGCCGAGGAUAUGCACAUGGUGCAGCAAGAGCACCCGCGCGAGCUGCUACCGAGGUGCCACCAGCAGUUCUAACCGGAAUCCAGGCACCUGAUACGCCUACUGCUACUACUACUCCAGCUCUUCAUUAGACUCUUGCACAGUUCAUGAGCAUGUACACCACUCUGGCUCAAGCAGGGUUGCUUCCCCUUGCUGCAGCUACAUCUCAGGCUGGGGGAGGAGCACAGACUCCCGCCGCUCGCACUCCUGAGCAGUGAGUACAUAUUGAUCAGGUCCCAGAGAUUAUUCCUGUACAUCCCGUAAGCCCAGACCAGCCCGAGGACAGGGCAAUGACUUCCGAAGAUGAGCAGCGGAGGCUUGAGAAGUUCAAGAAGUAUAAGCCUCCUGUAUUCAGUGGUCUAGCAUCAGAUGAUGCUCUGGGAUUUCUAGAUGAGUGCUACCGUAUCGUCCAUACCAUGGGUAUAUCAGGAUCGAGCGGGGUUUCCUUCACUACCUUCCAACUUCGAGGAGUUGCCUAUGAGUGGUGGCGUACCUAUGAGUUAGACAGUUCGGAUGAGGCAGCUUCCCUGACUUGGACUCAGUUUUCAGAUAUGUUCCUGAGAGAGUAUGUUCCUCAGAGCCUUAGGGACACAUGGUGCGCAGAGUUUGAGCAUUUGUGCCAGGGUACUAUGACUGUCUCGGAGUAUGCUGUCCGUUUCACUAGCUUGGCUAGACAUGCACCAGCCUUGGUUGCUACUGUUCGCGAGAGGGUUCGCCGGUUUAUUGAGGGGCUCAUUCCUAGCAUCAGGUCUAGCAUGGCUCGUGAGUUGGAGAUGGAUAUUUCUUAUCAGCAGGUGGUGAGCAUUGCUAGGAGAGUAGAGGGUAUGCAUGCUAGAGAUAGAGAUGAGAGGGAGGCCAAGAGGUCUUGAGAGUCGGGCUAUUAUUCUGGUGCCCGUGCUCCAGCUGCAGUUAGUCAUGGUAGGGGUUAUAUGAGUUUCCCCGUUCAUUCAGCUCUUCCAGCAGCCAGUGGUAUUCCAACUCCUCCUAGGCCUCAAAAACCUUAUUAUGCACCUCUAGUAUCGAGUGCGCCUCCUGCUUGGGGUGCUUUCAAUGGUGAGUCCAGCAGACCUGGCCCGAGCUAGUCAUAGCUGCCCCAUCCUCCCAGAUCUUGUUUUGAAUGUGGUGACACACGCCAUAUGGUGAGGGAUUACCCCAGACUUAGGAGAGGUGCACCUCCAUAGACUUCUCAGCCACAACGUGCCCCGCAGAGUUCUCAGGCUAUGGUUACAACACCAGUUGCUACCCCACCUGCUCAGCCAGCUAGAGGUAGAGGUUGGGGAGGUAAAGGUUGCCCUAGAGGGGGAGGCUAGGCCAGAUAUUAUGCCCUUCCUGCCCGUACCGAGGCUGUCGCCUCCGAUUCUGUCAUCACAAGUAUUGUCCUGGUUUGCCAUAGAGAUGCAUCGGUUUUAUUUGAUUCAGACUCCACUUAUUCUUAUGUAUCUUCUUAUUUUGCCCCGCAUUUGGGUGUAUCUCAGGAUUCUUUGAGUUCCCCUAUUUAUGUUUCUACUCAUGUGGGAGAUUCUCUUGUUGUGGACUGCGUUUAUCGGUCGUGUGUGGUUGAUCUUAGUGGUUUUGAGACCAGAGUCAAUUUUUUUAUUGCUUAGCAUGGUAGAUUUUGAUGUUAUCUUUGGCAUAGACUAGUUGUUGCCCCAUUAUACUAUUCUUGAUUGUCACGCCAAAAAUGUGACACUGGCUAUGCCAGGUGUACCACGAGUAGAGUGUAGGGGUACCUUAGAUCAUACUUCUAGUAGAGUUAUUUCAUUCCUUAACGCUCAGCGUAUGGUUGAGAAGGGGUGUGACGCGUAUCUAGCUUAUGUGAGAGAUGUUAGUAUUGAUACCCCUACAGUUGAUUCAGUCCUAGUAGUACAGGAUUUUUUUGAUGUGUUUCCAGCUGAUCUUCCGAGCACGCCGCCCAAUAGAGAUAUUGAUUUUGGCAUUGAUCUGUUGCCGGGAACUCAGCCCAUUUAUAUUCCUCCAUAUCGUAUGGCCCCUCCUGAGUUGAAGGAGUUGAAGGAUCAUCUGCAGGAAUUGCUUGAUAAGGGUUUUAUUCGGCCUAGUGUAUCAGCUUGGGGUGCUCUUGUCUUGUUUAUGAAGAACAAGGAUGGUUCUAUGCGUAUGUGCAUUGAUUAUCGUCAGUUGAACAAAUUUACAGUGAAGAACCGUUAUCCUUUGCCUCAUAUUGAUGAUUUGUUUGACCAGCUACAUGGUGCACGAGUGUUUUCUAAGAUUGACUUGCGUUCAGGUUACCAUCAGUUGAAGAUUCGGGAGCCAAAUAUCCCGAAUACUGCUUUCAGGACUCGGUAUGGUCAUUAUAAGUUUCUUGUUAUAUCAUUUGGGCUGACCAAUGCCCCAACAACCUUUAUGCAUCUGAUGCACAAUGUGUUCCGGCCAUAUCUUGACUUUUUCGUCAUUGUCUUUAUUGAUAAUAUUCUGGUGUAUUCCCGGAGUUGGGAGGAUCAUGAGCAGCACCUGAGGACAGUGCUUCAGACUUUGAGAGAAAAGAAGUUAUAUGAAAAGUUCUCAAAAUAUGAGUUUUGGUUAGAUUCCGUGGCAUUCUUGGGCCACGUGGUAUCGAGUGAGGGUAUUCAGGUAGAUCCGAAGAAAGUGGAAGCAGUGCAGAGUUGGCCCAGACCAUCCUCAGCUACAGAGAUCCGCAAUUUUCUUGGCUUGGCGGGUUAUUACCGUCGAUUUAUUGAGGGGUUUUCAUCUAUUGCAGCACUUAUGACCAGGCUGACCCAGAAAAGUUCUCCGUUUCAGUGGACGGAAGAGUGUGAGGCGAGCUUCCAGAAGCUCAAGACAGCUUUGACUACAACCCCAGUUUUGAUUUUGCCUACAGGUUCGAGGUCUUAUACUGUCUAUUGCGAUGCCUUGAGGAUUGGCCUUGGAGCAGUAUUGAUGCAGGACGAUAAGGUGAUUGCCUACGCAUCCAGACAGUUGAAAGUACAUGAGAAGAACUAUCCUGUCCAUGAUCUCGAGUUAGUAGCUAUUGUUCACGCCUUGAAGAUCUAACGUCUUAUUUGUACGUCAUGCCUUGUGAGAUUUAUACUGAUCACCGGAGUUUGCAGCAUCUGUUCAAGCAGAAGGACCUUAAUUUGCGCUAGAGGAGGUGGUUAAAGCUACUGAAGGACUAUGAUAUCACUAUUUUGUAUCACCCGAGCAAGGCCAAUGUGGUGGCCGAUGCUUUGAGUCGCCAGGCGGAGAGUUUGGGGAGUUUAGCUUAUUCACCAGCAGCGGAGAAGCCCAUGGCGUUGGAUGUUCAGGCCUUAGCCAGCCAGUUUGUGAGAUUGGAUCUUUCAGAGCCCAGUCGGGUUCUAGCUUGCGUGAUUUCUCAGUCUUCCUUAUUUGAUCGUAUCAGAGAGCGCCAGUUUGAUGACUCUCAUUUUCUUGUCCUCAAGAACAAGUUUCUGCACGGUGAUACCAUAGAUGUGACUAUUGGUGAUGACGGGGUAUUGAGGAUGCAGGGUUGGGUAUAUGUACGCAAUGUUGAUGGUCUUCGGGAGUUGGUUCUAGAGGAGGCCCAUAGUUCGCGGUAUUCCAUUCAUCCGGGUGCCGCAAAGAUGUACCAAAAUUUGAGGCAGCACUAUUGGUGAAGGCGGAUAAAGAAAGAUAUAGUUGGGUUUGUAGCUUAGUACCUCAAUUAUCAGCAGGUGAAGUAUGAGCACCAAAUACCGGGUGGGUUGCUUCAGCAGAUAGAGAUUUUGGAGUGGAAGUGGGAGGAUCACCAUGGACUUUAUAGUUAGACUCCCACAGACUUUGCGGAAGUUCGAUGCCAUUUGGGUGAUUGUGGAUCGACUAACCAAGUCCGCACACUUCAUUCCUGUGUGUACUACCUAUUCUUCGGAGCGAUUGGCGGAGAUUUAUAUCUGGGAGAUUGUUCGUCUGCAUGGUAUUCCAGUUUCCAUCAUUUUAGAUAGAGGUACUCAGUUCACAUCACGGUUCUGGAGGGCCGUAUAGCAUGAGUUGGGUACUCGGGUGGAGUUGAGUACAACAUUUCACCCUCAGACGGAUAGAUAGUCCGAGCACACUAUUUAGAUUCUUGAGGAUAUUCUCCGUGCGUGAGUGAUAGAGUUUGGAAGGUCUUGGGAUCAGUUCUUGCCAUUGGCGGAGUUUGCCUACAACAACAGCUAUCAGUCCAACAUUCAGAUGGCACCGUACGAGGCUUUAUAUGGUAGGCGGUAUAGAUCCCCGGUGGGAUGGUUUGAGAUGGAUGAGGCUAGAUUAUUGGGAACAGACUUGGUUCAGGAUGUUUUGGAGAAGGUUAAGGUGAUUCAGGAUAGACUCCGCACAGCUUAGUCCAGACAGAAAAGUUACGCGGACCGGAAGGUUCGUGAUAUUUUCUAUAUGGUUGGAGAGUGGGUUCUGCUUUGGGUUUCGCCUAUGAAGGGCGUUAUGAGAUUUGGGAAGAAAGGGAAGUUGAGUCCGAGGUUUAUUGGUCCUUUUGAGAUAUUGAGACNNNNNNNNNNNNNNNNNNNNNNNNNNNNNNNNNNNNNNNNNNNNNNNNNNNNNNNNNNNNNNNNNNNNNNNNNNNNNNNNNNNNNNNNNNNNNNNNNNNNNNNNNNNNNNNNNNNNNNNNNNNNNNNNNNNNNNNNNNNNNNNNNNNNNNNNNNNNNNNNNNNNNNNNNNNNNNNNNNNNNNNNNNNNNNNNNNNNNNNNNNNNNNNNNNNNNNNNUUAUGGUGAUCCGUCGCACGUGUUGGAUUUCAGUUCAGUCUAGUUGGACAAGGAUAUAUCUUAUGUUGAGGAGCCGGUGGCGAUAUUGGACAGGCAAGUUCGAAAGAUGAGGUCAAAGAACAUUGCAUUAGUGAAGGUUCAAUGGCGGGGUCAGCCGGUCGAGGAGGCGACCUAGGAGACCGAACAGGAUAUGUGCAUCCGUUACCCUCAUCUUUUCACUACUUCAGGUAUGUCUCUAUGCUCAUUCGAGAAGAAACGAAUGUUUAAGUAUAGGAGGAUGUAAUGACCCGGUCGGUUGUUUUAAGAAUUAAUGUCUCGAUCCCCUAUUAAUUGUAUUCCCCGUGUUUUAUUCUGCUAUUGUAAGCUGAAAGGAGGAUUUAUUUGGAAUAUCGGAGAGUUUUGGGACACUUAGUUCCUAAAUAAAAGUUUAAGUUUUAGAAUUCGGACCAUAGUCGAAAUAGUGUGAAGACGGCCUCAGAAUGGAAUUUCGUUGGUUUCGUUAGCUCCGAUGGGUGAUUUCGGGCUUAGGGGCAUGUUCAGAUUGUGUUUUAAAGGUCCGUAGCUUAAUUAGGCUUGAAAUGCCGAAAGUUGAAUUUUUGAUGUUUCUGGUUUGAUAGUGAGAUUUUGAUCUAGGGGUCAAAAUGGAAUGAGAGUUGGAGUAGCUCCAUAGUGUUGAGUGUGACGUGUGUGCAAAAUUUCAGGUCAUUCUGACGAGGUUUGAUAGACUUUUUGAUCAAAAGUGGAAUUCGGAAGAUUCUUGGAACCUUAGGCUUGAAUCCGAUGUUAAUUGGUUGAUUCGAUAUUAUUUGAGGUGUUUGAAGAUUUGUAUAAGUUUGGAUAGUGGUAUAUGACUUGUUCGUGCUUUUGGUUGAGGUCCCGGGAGCCUCGGGGUGAUUUCGGAUGGUUAACGAAAAGUUUGGAGUUGGGAAUUUGCUGCUGAAGCUGCUGAGUUUUUCUGUCAUAACCGCACCUGUGGUUAGGGGGCCGUAGGUGCAAUGACCGCAAAAGCGAGAUUCAAGCCGCAGAUGCGGCCACAGGUGAAGGCAGCAGAAGACGCAUAGCGGGAGGUGUGCCACACCUGCGGGACCGCAAAUACGAAGCCUGGGUCGCAGGUGCGGAGAAGGGGACUUAAGUGAAAACCGCAGAAGCGGUGCCCUUGAUCGUAGGAGCGGUAGCGCAGAAGCAGAAACUGAUCGCAAGUGCGAAAAACCUGGGUCAGAAAGUAUAAAAAGAUUUCCUUCGCGAAUUUGGGUUAUUUUUCAUAAUAUUUCAACGGGAAGAAGCUUUGGAAAGCAAAUUUCAAGGGAGAUUUUCAGAGGUAUUCAUUGAGGUAAGGUCCUUGGUUCCUAAGCUCGUUAUUAUGGUGAAUUCUAUCGUUGUUAGCAUGAAAUUUAAGGGAGAAAUUAGUGGUAAAUUGGGGGUUAAGGCUUAGUUAAUUGGAGAGCUUUAAGUGGUAAUUUGAGAGACCAUUUGGGGUAUGAUUUUGGUACUUUUGGUAUGACUGAAAUCGUGAGAGUGUGAGGAUUCGGAAUUUGUAAAUUUUAUCCGAUUCCGAGAAGUGGGCCCGAGGAGCGUUUUGGUCAUUUUCUUAAUUUCGCAUAUUAGCUUAGAAUUAAUUAGUGGAUUCAGUUACUUGAAUUAUAUUUACAUUAUGCAAUUGAUUUGAAUAGAUUUGGGCCAUAUGGAGUGGAGUAGUCGUGGCAAGAGCAUGAUUUCAGGUUGAUUUUUGAGCCGAUUCGAGGUAAGUGGCUUGCAUAACCUUGUGGGGGGAACUCCCCUUAGGAUCUGUUAUUGUUGAUAUAUGAAAUGCCUUGUAUGUGAGGUGACAAGUGCGUACAUUUGUUACUUGUUGAAAAUCCUGUUUUCAUUAAGUAACUAUAACUGAGCUUUCUUUCUUGUUUAUGCUACCUGCAAUUUAAUCCUACUGUUAGCUUAGGGAAGCAUGUCUAAUUGACUUAAUUGCCUUAAUUGCUUAAACUGAUUUAUUUGAAUUCUGUGCAGUAUGCUAGGUUAGAAUUAUCUGUUUACCUUGGUAUGGAAAUUUGGACUGAAUUGAAUAUUCUUCGGGUUGUUGCUGUGUGUCUACUUUGGGACUACGAGACGGUAUCCAUGGAGAUCCCCCUGCAUGUUUACUUUGGGACUACAGAUUUGUAUUCCGGGAGAUCCCCUCUCACUUUUGUAUUGGAACUAUGGUACUGCACCCGGUAGAUUCCCCUAGUACUGGGUAUUUACAUUUCGGACUAUGGAUCGGUAUUCCGGGAGAUUCCCGCGCACUAUGAGUUAGACUACAGGACGACACCUAGGAGAUCCACUGGAUAUUUACAUUUGGGACUACAGGACGGUAUCCUGGGAGAUCCUCGGUUAUUAUCUCUGUGUUGAGCUGUAUUCCUUCUAUGAUUAUUUUGUCUCUGUUAUAGUUGUUGUUAUUCUUAUUAUCCUAUGUUACUUCAUACUGUUAACAUUUAUUUAUAUUGUCAUAUUCUAUACUGUUUUACCUCGUUUUCAGCUAUAAUCAGUAGGGCCCUGACCUUCCUCGUCACUACUCGACCGAGGUUAGGCUUGACACUUACUGAGUACUGCUGUGAUCUACUCAUGCCCUUUCUGCGCAUGUUUUUCAUGUGCAGAUCUAGGUACUUCGACUUAGCCCUACUACCCUUGAGGUGAGGCGAUUCUCCAGAGACUUCGAGGUAUAUUUGCCGCGUCCGCAGACCGAGGAGUCCCUUUCCAUUCUCGCUUAUAGUAUUAGCCCUUAUGUAUUUACUUUUUUUUAGACAUUCUGGAGUUAGACACUUGUAGUUAUUCAACAGCUUGUGAUUUCAUGAGAUUCCAGGUUUUGGAAAGUUGUUCAGUUUGAGAGUUAUAUUGUAUAUGCCGAGCGGCAUCUUUAAACCUUCAUUAUGUUUAUUCCACAUUUUUAUUUGUUUUAUCUGUUGUUUUCCCUUUUUUCUGAAAUUGUUAGGCUUACCUAGUCGUAGAGACUAGGUGCCGUCACGAUAGUUCACGGAGGGCGAAUUGGGAUCGUGACACGUGACUGUGCCACAGGAACUGUACCCAUAAUCACAAUGAUUUAUUUAAUUAACACACCUAAAGCAAACUAUGAAUAUUUAUCAAUUUGUUUAUUUUGUAUCAAUUUGAAAUGAUCUGUAAGGUCCAAAGGUUCAUGAAAUUAAUUGGAAGGAUGUUCAUAAGUUGCCAGCAAGACCAAUAGCUGGCACUUACUAGUUAGUGAUCCUGUUUUAAGACUUAUCAAAAAAGGGCUAAAUCUCUUUGUUUAUUUCUGAUACAUUCUUUGUUAAUUACAUUAAAUAAUUAAGAACAAAUCAUACCCCUUUUACAAGUCUAACUACUGUGGAAAUCUUCCAAGUAAAUGAAACUCCAAUCAUAUUAAUUCAUAAUCACGUUCUUUUCAACUGAAACAAAAUUCGAAUAAAAUGAAAAAAGAAGCAAUUGCAACCAUAGGCAUUGGAAGAACAUCCACCUUCGAACAUAUAGAAUGCCAGCACAGAAAAUCCAUCCAAAUACUCUUAAAUUUAACAGAUCUAAGGAGUUACCGAACAUCUCAAAACUAAGUAAGAGAAAACAAUAUCAGAUAUAAGAUAGAAUAGUAGAAGGUUCAUCAUUUACACACUACAAAACUGUGUAUCGAUUUCUCGCCGUGAUUUACAAAUUUGAUAAAACAAAAAAAGGGCGAUUUCAAAACUGAUCAUCACUAACUUCAUUAAUUUGGCAAACCAAUCAUUUCCUCAAACACAUAUAUGUUUCACAUCCAAUUUACAGUUCAGAGAAGAGAAGAGUACCUGGUUAUGGAAGAACCGAUUUAAAGGGUUGAAACUUAGCAACCAGCAAAGUCCAAAUCAGUAAGCAAGCAACUCAUUUACAACUUCUAAUAACCUUGAAAACCCCAUAGAUUAUGAAGAAAAAAGGCUGAAAUGUUGAAUCGGCUAUAUGAUUUUAACUUCGAAAUUUGAUUGUUUCUUUCUAAGAAAAUAGACGAGCACCGGCCAU
rnacentral:lncRNA from 1 species